rnacentral:tRNA from 1 species
GAAUUGUUAUCUUAUAUUUAAAGUUUUAGAUUUUUAAUCUAAAGAAAAAUCGGUUUG